CAUACCCCCUCCCCCGUUGGAACCCUAGUUCUUCACCUGUUAGAGAAAAUUUUGAUAAUAUCCAAUUUCCGCAGUUCAUCAACGUCAAUUGAAUCUCGUCUUGGUUUGGUAUUUUAUUUACACCAAAAUUUUGAGAAAAUUAGGUUAUAGGAAUCUUACAACUGGAAUUUUUGGUUAUGAAUUUAGUUCUGUUCGUAUGUGUUUUUGUCGGUUUUGCCUUUGUAGUCAGAUCUAUACAAAACCCUAGAUUUGAAAUGUGCCAUUUUCGCAGAGAAAUUGUUGUUCUUAUGACAGCCACCAUUGUUCUUCAUUAUUUCGACCACCAAUCUGCCACAAUUCCAUUUAAUCGAUUUUCAAGGUUUUUCCACAAUUAUGAAGAUGAGGGUAUGCUUGUUGCAAGAUAUAGUAAGGACGAAGAUAAAGUGACAGUAAUAAAGACAAACACAUAUGUAUUGGACUUGUGUCAAUCAUCACGACCUGCAGAGCCAAUAGCGGGAACAUGUAUGGAACUAUUAAGAAACUUUAACAGUCUAAGAAUCUUCAAUACAGUAAGAAUUUGGUGCUUCCAGUUUAGAUAAUUGCUAUCAUCUAGUUUAAUUUUAACAAAUUGAGUGAUGUUCCACAGGUUUGAUGAUGAAGUGCUAGUUGUUGCCAUGAUUACAAUAGCAGAAAAAAGGAUGAACACUGAACAGAGGAAAUAAGAUAGAAGCGAACAGAUAUUGGGUGUCUAGGAGGCCAAAGGAGCCUUUAGUUGUUGCUACAUUUAGCCUAGUUGUCCACAAUGGUGGAGAUGUGGAGGAAGCUUUUAGCAUAGCUAAGAAAAUAUCCAACCCACAUGUUACAACUUACCAUGAGCUCUCAGAGCCUAAAAACCUGUUUAACCCAUUACCCAACCCCUGAUCCACUUACAUAAGGGGUCUUACAUAUUUGCUACAGGAGUAGGUGUGUGAUAGCAGAAGUUUUUGUUGAGAAGAACUUUGACCUGGCUUUCUAAGUUAUUUGUGAGUUUAAUCUUUCUGGUAACAAUCACAUAGUGAACCAUGCCAUUCAAUUCACUCUUGUUAAGAAUUUAGCUACAAUGUUAUCAUUUUCUAUGUUAAUGGGAAAAUCCAUUUGUUAAUAUAUAUGCUGGUGUGGCGUCAUCACUUGCUGAGAGUAAGAAAGGUGGUCAAUUGACUGAAUUUUUUAGAAAUAUUAAGGGCAAUAUUGAAGAUGAAGAUUGGGACCAGGAAGGUUUUGGCUUGUGUGGUGUGUGGCUGCCUCAAAAGUGCCUUCCAGAUAGCUUCUAGAAGCGAAGGUGUGGCUGAUGGCAGUAUGUAGCACAUCAGGUGUUCAAUUUUCUACACUUGUAUUUAAAGGCUUUGAAGAUAUCUGAAUGUGUAAAUCAAGGAUUUGUGCCAAAGCAAGGUGGCAAUGCUAAUUACAAGUUGCUUGCAAUUGAAAGCGUACAGGGAGUGCGACUUUCAGAAAGUAAGAAAAGCUAUUAGAAUCCAAAUAAUUUGCUAAUUACAAAACUAUUCUAUGUGCAUGAAAUUGGGAUAUGAGAAUUACUAGGUUUGACUUUCCGAAAGUCACAAAAGGGAUGCCUUCUAUGUUGUCUUCUUUAGUGCAUGUAUAGUCUUUUGUAUCAGAAUAAAUAUUAACUUCAUAUUUUUUUGUUUCAAGAAACGUGCAUCAUAUUGAACUUUUACAAUAUAUCUAUCACUUUAUAAUACAAUUAAUAUUUGUUUA